UCGCAGUCUGCAACUCGACUGCGUGAAGGUGGAGUCGCUAGUAAUCGCGGAUCAGCAACGCCGCGGUGAAUACGUUCCCGGGCCUUGUACACACCGCCCGUCACACCAUGAGAGUCGGGAACACCCGAAGCCCGUAGCCUAACAGCAAUGAGGGCGCGGUCGAAGGUGGGUUCGAUAAUUGGGGUGAAGUCGUAACAAGGUAAC
rnacentral:rRNA from 1 species